rnacentral:rRNA from 1 species
CUCGUAGGCGGUUCAGUAAGUCGGGUGUGAAAACUCUGGGCUCAACCCAGAGACGCCACCCGAUACUGCUGUGACUUGAGUACGGUAGGGGAGUGGGGAAUUCCUGGUGUAGCGGUGAAAUGCGCAGAUAUCAGGAGGAACACCAGUGGCGAAGGCGCCACUCUGGGCCGUAACUGACGCUGAGGAGCGAAAGCGUGGUAGCAAACA